rnacentral:misc_RNA from 1 species
GAUGAAGAACGCAGCGAAAUGCGAUACGUAAUGUGAAUUGCAGAAUUCAGUGAAUCAUCGAGUCUUUGAACGCACAUUGCGCCCCCUGGUAUUCCGGGGGGCAUGCCUGUCCGAGCGUCAUUGCUGCCCUCAAGCACGGCUUGUGUGUUGGGCCUCCGUCCUCCUCCCGGGGGACGGGCCCGAAAGGUAGCGGCGGCACCGCGUCCGGUCCUCGAGCGUAUGGGGCUUCGUCACCCGCUCUUGUAGGCCCGGCCGGCGCUUGCCGACACAUCAAUCUUUUUUCCAGGUUGACCUCGGAUCAGGUAGGGAUACCCGCUGAACUUAAGCAUAUCAAUAGCGGAGGA